AACACAUGCAAGUCGAACGGGGUAGCAAUACCCAGUGGCAGACGGGUGAGUAACACGUGGUCAACCUACCUCUGUGUGGGGGAUAACUAGCCGAAAGGUUAGCUAAUACCGCAUACGAUCGUUUUGGGGCAUCUCGAGACGAUGAAAGGAGCAAUCCGCACGGAGAGGGGACUGCGUCCCAUUAGUUAGUUGGUGGGGUAACGGCCUACCAAGACUCCGAUGGGUAGCUGGCUUGAGAGAGCGACCAGCCACACUGGAACUGAGACACGGUCCAGACUCCUACGGGAGGCAGCAGUGAGGAAUUUUCCGCAAUGGGCGAAAGCCUGACGGAGCGACGCCGCGUGUGGGAAGAAGGCCUUCGGGUCGUAAACCACUGUCGAAGGGGACGAUAUUGACGGUACCCUUGGAGGAAGCCCCGGCUAACUACGUGCCAGCAGCCGCGGUAAGACGUAUGGGGCAAGCGUUGUCCGGAAUUAUUGGGCGUAAAGCGCUCGUAGGUGGAUUGAC
rnacentral:rRNA from 1 species